AAGUAAUAAUUUAAAAGCCACACUCUAAUAUCAUGCUUUCUAAAACUGGAGAUGCAGGCAUCUUUUUCAUGCAACACCAUAAAUCCACUACAGUGGUGCUCUUACCCUUUACAAUCUCUAAAACUAACUUUUAUGGAUAUAAAUACUAAUAAAAUUCACUCCACCUAUGUUUUGCACCAGGCUGCUAUGUAAGAGUUCAUAUCCAAUUUUAUGAUAAAUUUGUAUUUCUGUUGAGAAGUGUUAUGCACUACCCAUGAUCAGCAGAAAUACUGGGUCAAGUUGGACAUCAGCUUGCAUGAGCUGUGGGAAGUGAUUGGUAAGUGCAACUCUGACAGACCACAGCUGCCUGUGCUGAAACAAUUUUACAGUACACUCCCCAAUAAACUACCAAACAGGCACCGGCACUCCUGGUGUUGUUAGGAAAUUAAACAGUAAGCUACAACUUGAAACAUUUUUGCCUCACCUCCCAUUUCUCACAGAUGCUCCUCUUCACAGCUUAUCUCCAAGCAGAAUGGUGAGAAAAGAGGGGACCCCAGACUGGCUGCCAGCCAGCCUUUUCAGGCUUCAUUUUUAAUACCAUUACCUAUGAAUACAUUACAUUUACUUGGCCUCCAGUCACCUCAUUAACCCUGGCAGCAAAGCAAGUAACAAAUACAGCUAACAAUAUCUACUUGGUACGGAAGCCUCACAUUUUUCCUUAGAAGAGGUAAAUCUCGGGAGGUAAGUUUGUAGCUGUUAACCAGCUAUUUCCCUCUCCCCACAGAGGAAGAAAUUGUGUUUUUCUUUGACAGCAGCAAUAUAUGGUAGUACUGUCAUUACAGCUGUUUUAGAACAGCUUUAAACUCCACUUGUGUUUCACAACUACCUGCCAGAGCUCUUGUUCAAAACUUCUGUUUCUCGAUAUAUUGUUUCAAGGGAAGUUUUUUGAUCCAACUGUCCAAGUCAUCAAGUAUACAAAAGAAUAUGCAUACUUAAAGGUAGAGGAUACAAACCCACUCACUGUACUCAAAACACAACCCACAAGCUCCUUCCCUGGGGCCUCCCUAGACUGGAUGACCAGAUUUUGUCCAUGCUAUGGGACAGCAGCACAAAGCUCUAAAAUCUCAGAAAAGGUUCCCUAAAAGCAGGGAUGAGCCAGUGCAUGAGAUCACUAGGCUUCCCCUGCACUGAGACUGCAGCCUCAGUUGCUGUGAAUCCCCAGAUUUUACUUAACCAGCACAUCUCACUUCUUCUUGACUCAAAUAGAGAUCUUCUAAGAGUUUCUUCCUAUAGGACUUGUAAAUAUGAUGUGCAUGCAUGCAUAUUUGCAGAUCAUCUGUGUGUAUUUUACCUCUAUAUACACAUAUUUCUAUAAAAACGACACCAUGCAUUGUAUUUUAUGGUGAAUGCAUUGUAAUUUUCUUCUGAAAAUCUCCAACACUGCUGUUGUGCUUUGCUUUUCCAUCUGAUACAGUGGAGCAGAGAGCUUGUUUUCACAGAAGCCAGGCAGAUCCAGAGCUCCAACCCUGCUUUCAAGUGCAAGGACUCUCACAGCCUCGUCAAGUGCCUUCAUCUCUGCACCUCGCACUCCCGUACUAUAAAGUGAUAACACACUGCCUCCCUGACACUGUUUAGUGAUAACAAAUUCUUAAAACCAGAGAAAUAAACAAACAAACAACAUCUACUAUGGAACUCUGAAGAGCAAAUACUGGUAUCUUGAAAACACAGAUGCUUACUCUAGUUACCAGGCUUCUAUAAAAAUAAAAUUACCCUGCAAACAUUUUCUGCACUGAUUUUAAUCUCAGAAUUCCUCUAAACCUUUAGUUUUAAGUGCAACAAUUUAUACCACCACUUUAGUGAGAAAGGCUGCAAGCCAUUUGAAUUCUAGUUUUUCUACCUUAAGAAAAGCCUAAAAAUACACAGUUUCUCUCUUAUAAUCCUGUAGCAACAAGGUUUUUCUCUAGCAGAACAAUGAGAUACGAAAUCAAAAUAGUCAUCUAUCCACUGAUAGUAGAUAAACACUGUAUUUAUUAGCACUUUCACAUACUGAUUUUAGACUAACCUCUUUCUCACAACAGUAACAGCAUAAAUGACCAUUUCAAGAGCACUGUCAUCCAAAUGUCACAAAACAAAAGAGAACAAACGAUACAUCUACUUCCCGUGUCUCCUCUGGCAUUUAGAAGCUGGCACGUGAGGAGAAUAAUCCAGCUCCUGUGCCUCAUCUCACCCUUCAAUGCCAAGGUAGGCUCCAGGACGGAGUGAGCAUCGGAGCUGCACCAGGACAUCCUGCCAGUACUCCCCAUAUCUGCAGCAGUUCCUCCAUUUUGCAGAGGAGGGUCCACUCAGCACUCAUCUUCCUAAUUAUACACCAACAAUUAGCUGGAAUCUCGUUGGACUGUGCAUGUCACCUGUUAACAGGGCCCCGUGAAAAAGGGCUAAAACUGGAUGUGGCAGAUGGAGCUAUAUAUCCUGUCCAUCUCUGGAGAGCAGAUUUGUAAUGCAAAACACUGAAUUCAAGAUGAGACCCACGGAUACAUGGAAGUAAUCAGAACCAAACUGAUUAAACAAGACCCAGGUCUCAGCACAGCAGACAGAAUUCUAAACAGAAACAAAGAUACCUCAGAGAGGGAAACAAUCCAUGCACCGAGUCACACACCAGCCCAGCCUUCCCUGAACCAUGUGGCUCCCUCUUCAGAAAAAUCAGACCCUUCUCCUAAAAACUCACCAAGGCCAGAAACAUCCACAUCCCAGUCAUUCCAUUUCAGGUCCACACAAAGGAAAACCUUGCACUCUCAAGCUGCCUGUUUUGUAAUGGGGAAGCCCAGGGCAGUGCCGUGGUCCACAUGGCCAAAGACAACCAUGAUAGUUGCACAGCCCUCCAGUACAGAUUUACAGUUCAGAUCUACAAUGCAGACUAGUCUGGACUACUAGCCCUCUUACAACUUUGGGCACAUGACAUUUCAUGCAACUACCACUAUCCUGAACCCAAAUCCUGUUUGACUUGAGAAAAUCUGGGCUUGAUGUCUUAAAAGAGCAACAACUGAUUUUCUUUUUUUUUUUUUUUUUUUUUUUUUUUUUUUUUUUUUUUUUUUAAAUCUUGUCUUGUUUGGGCUCCUUCAAGUGCUGUUUUAAGACUCCCAGUAUGGGAUGGGAGGAAUCCGGACUGAUGCCCAGCACAGACAUCACAACAUGGAAGGGAUGCACUACUCUCUAUCUGCCCUGUCACAAGACCUCAAGAGAUGUGCUUUGAUUCCAGCCCAAGUGCUGCUGGCUCCCAAUCCAGUCACACCUUCUCGCUCUGCUUUUCAUGCAGUAUUGAAGAGAGUUUUUAAAUCCUUGCAUUGAAAACUGUGUUUUCAAUUAUCAACACUGAUCUGGCUUCACAGACCUCCCACUUGUUUUGCUUCAUGGGCUAAUGGAAGAGAAGAAUUAAACAGACCUCUGAGCUCCUGCAGCCACUCUCUUACAAAUACUCCACUGACACACACACAUUUCUCAGCAACACCCUUGCUAAAAAAACCAUCAGGGAAAGUGUAAUUUAGACUUUUAACACUUUCUCCAAUGAAGCACAAAAAAACCAACCACCCUUAAAGCUGGUUUUGUUUUGCUUUCUCUCAGGAAAAUGCUUACUUGCUUGGACAGCUGCACACAACCUCAUACACUAUUCUGCUGUCUUACACCUCCCUGCUAAGUGGAUGAUGUCACACAGCCUCACAAGAAUAAACAUAUUCUGACAUGCACCAAAAAAUGAACCAACUAAGCUGUAAGCAAAGACUGUUUACGUAAUGCUUUGUAGACACCUUUACACUGCCUGAGCCUCACAGCCAGUUUUGUUUUAAGCUUGUUUUUAACCCAAGGUUUAGAGAGAAGAAAAAAAAACUUUGAAAUGCCAGCACAGUACUUGCCCACUGACUUAGCAAAGCACGUACUGCCAAACUGCUGCACAGCUUGAAUGCCUCAGUGACCAAGCACUUUUGGAAAAUUCUUGUUAUAUGCACACAUACACACACAAAAGAGCAAUCUAAUCAUAAAAAUAUUCAGACACAUUAUUCACAGACACUCAUAUGGCCUCUAGAAGUACACUUCUUGAUCUGCGUGAACUGACUUCAGAUAUAAAAAGAUUCUGUGCCUCCACUUCUCCUCUCCUCUCCUCCCCUGCAAAUCUCUUCAGGUUUUGGGGGUUUCAUUUUUUAUUUAUUGCCUUUCUCUUGGCUUCACAGAAAGUUUGUUAUUCCACCAGAUUUUAUCCCUUUCUGUUUGGCAAAUGUUGAUUCUCCCCCAUCCUCCUACGUGUCUUACAUGAAACUGCUUCAGCCUCUUUUGUGCGAGAAAAAUAAUUUUUUUAAAAAAUUGUGUACCUUUAUCUUACCCCAAAAUCUGCUGGUUCAACAACAUCAGCACUGCCUGGCCAUUAGAGUUCAGUGUCUAAGUGAACCAAAGAAACUGCAGCCUGCUGUCCCUUGCAAGCCAAGGUGCAGCAGAGCCCACUGGCUGUCCACAGGCUGGGAGCGAUGGCCUUGUCCCCCUCGUGCCCUCCCGAGGCACAUCACUGCUCCCACACCACGUACAGAACUUGAAACUGAUGCCCCUACAAGCUCUUGGCUGAUUGUAGGGACAUAUAACAACACAGCCUUAAAACAGCUAACGGGCUCCCCCCGCAUCUAAUGAAAAUGAAGGAAAAGCAACAAUAAUUCUACUCAGGACCUGCAAACACUAAUGCCUAAUCUUUCUCUCAGGAGGACGGAGCAGUAGCAUGAAGAAGAGAAGACAGGCAUUGGCGGUGAUACCUUUACUCCACAGGUUUCUCCCAAGUAAAGCAUCAUGCCUUCGUGCCAGGCACUACCUCAACACUACAACCCCAAACAAGACAAGAUUAAAAAAAAAAAAAAAAAAAAAAAAAAAAAUUGUUGCUCUUUUAAGAUAUUCCUUAACAAUGAACACACUGCUCCACUUCUGCAUUCCAGAGCUCUGCUCCUAUAAACAAGAAUUAGGACCAGUACUGUGCAAUGCCAAGUUCAGAUCUUUGGAUGGGAGAUAAAAAGCAAAGGAGGAUUACAGAGUACAGUAUAUCUCUCAUAUAAACAACUUAAAAAUCAUCAUUUAAUGAUAAAUCUCAUCAUCAGGAGCAUCAAGCACAGUGUGACUGUGCCAAGGGAGUGGGGACCUGAUGAAGUCCUCUAGAAGUUGAUGUCCUCCAAGAGUUUUAAUGGACAACAAAAGACUCUUCACUGCCCAUCUCAAAACGCUAAGGCACUAUUCCUAUAAUGACCAGUUGUCUCCUUGGAUAACACUGACAGCAAGAUGCAAAUGCAACUACCAGUGCAUGCAGUUCCUGGAAAAAAUACCUUCGAGAUCUCUUCAAGUUGAAAAUUUUAUCAAUCACAAGCCUUCACUUGUCAGUAUAUCAACCUGUUUUGAGGUUACAUCUUUUAUACUUCAGAUAUUUUGAAAAAAAAUCUAGAGUUCAUCCAAAAAAAAAGCUUUAAGCGAUAGUAUCACUGGCAAAUCACUGCAAACAUUACUGAAAGUCAACUGCCCAAUAUCUACAAAGGAUGGGGGAAAAAAAAAAAAAUUUUUUUUUGAGACUUGACUACAUGGUGCUAAAACUCUUCAGUAAGAUAGGUUAGUACUGCAUUGAUACCUUGAGAGUGCAAACAAGUGCUUUCAGACAGUUUAACUUUUACUUCAGUGCUUUCAAAACCCAUGGCAGGUUCUUCUAAGAGAAGCAGAGAGGACUCUUGGACAUCAACAGGGCUCACUGCUACCAGGGCACACAGUCCCCAAGUUUUCACAACAGUCUCUAGUGUAACAGCAUAUUCAUCUCUUGUAAUCAAGGCAAUAAUUUGCUGAACACAUCUUUCAGCAACACUGAGGGCUUAAGCAGUGACAGGGCCCGAGUCCAGUCAGCUCCCCAGCUGCACCAAUAGUUUUGUGCCAUGGACUGGAUCAGGGAACCAGUGCAAGGUAAAAAUAAAUAAGAGGGAGAAAAAGAACACAAUUCUCUUUGACCUGAAGCAUUAUUAUUAUCCUGAUUUAUUAUCCUGCUGCUAGUGACAAAACAGGUUUAGAGUAAGCAGGAGGAGAUAGGCAGAGACUGGUGAAGCACAGAUCAUCUCUGCAAGAAAGGUUCUAUCUACCACAGCAGCCCAAUUACUGCACGCUGUAAAACCGCUAAAAAAAAUAUUUCAAGGCAGUGUUUUGAUUGAUUUUCUUUUGCAAAACAAACUUCCACCUAGGGUCUAUGGUUACAUUUCAAUAACAUCAGAAAAAAAAUAAUUUAAAAGCUCAUGUUGUUUUGCAGAAAACAACCUUUAAGGAAAACCCCAGCACUCUUUCAUAGUCAGAACAAUGCUCAACACUGCUAGGAGGUUAAAGCCUUGGCCAGCUUUUCAGAGGGAGAAUCUUCUGGUAAAUGUUGAGUUUCAGCAAAUCACUUUAUUUCUCUUUCAGACCAGAGUCAUUGCCACAUGCUUCCUUACCUUUUAUGAGAAACUUAAUAGAGACUGCAGUUUUCAGAAUUUACAGCUCACCUGGACCAAGUUCUUUUAAGCAGCACAUAUGAUAAAGAUCUAUUAACAAGGAUAGCCCCUCUUUGAAAAGAUACCUUUGAGGAUUUGUCUCCUUUCUUAAUCACACCAAAAGCUGUGUCUGUGCCCUGUCCCUUGACCUGGGAGUCACAACUGAUGGCAGUGCAGAGGCAAGACAGAACCUGUAGUUCUCUAACAACUGGAGAAAACCAUGGAGAACAACCCACAGGGAGUGGAUUAUAUUCUCAAAAGUUCUUAAAACAUUUUCCCAUUUACUCUGGGAAGUGGUUCAGAGCGAACUGCUCAUCAGAAAACUCUGACAAGAACAACAUGAGGUAGCACACGAUUCACAUCUGAUCCUUAGAUGUUGCAUUCUAGACAAGUGUUCAAGGCAACAAGGCUGCACCCUACCAAAAUGCUCAUUUUUAUAUAGCUUUAAUAGAAUGUUAAGUCAUGAUAGUUAAUGCUCCUAUCCCAUUCUCAGAGCCUAGCAAUUGCUGGUCAACAUGAAGAAAAAAAAAAAAAAGGUAUUUUUUUAAACUAAAUAACCCGGAGAAUAUUUUAUUUCUCUCUUCUUUUACCAAAUGAUUAAAUAGAGAGAUCAGAGGCUCAGAUUUCAGCAACAGAUGCUUUAUUUUAAAGUCUUAAUUCUUCCUGGCAAAACUCUGGUAUUUCACAAGAUUGCCUUAUUGAUCAAAACAAGAGCAUGUAUCCCAGGUAAUUUUGCUUUGAAAUAAUGAGAUUGUAAUCUGACUUGCAACAUAGCUGUUACUCCUGUAUCACCAACGAGCACAGUCUUAUUAUCAGCUUCUGAAAGCCUUUGCACAAUCUGGUUCUUCAGCACUGUGUGGUUUGCACGCACAGCGGCACCAAAGUGUCUCCUCUUAAAAUGCCAUUCCCAGUUCUAAACGGUUGAAAUGUAUUUAAAAACUAUACAAGGAAAAGAAAACGAGCUGCACUGCACAGGUUUCUUGCACUCCACAACUGACUUCAUAAUUUCCAUAAACCCCAGUGAGAAGUCACCAGUUUUUCAAUCUGUACUCUUCCACACAGCAGAUUUUGGGAAAAUGCUUUGGAAAGGCUGAUUUACUAAUUCUGCCCUAGCUACCACUUCAGUAGCAGAUGUCAUCUGGCCCAAGAGAAUCAUCUCAUUUAGAAGAGCAAAAUGCAGCUACAAAGCUAGUUUAAAUUUAGAUCCACCACCAAGGAAGGAACAUUUAUGAGGACAUGGUUUACGUUACCAGUAUGCAACACAAAUAUCUCAUCUACACCAACAUGAGUUGUACUAGGUGUAGAAUAAAAUACUGAAUUAUGGAUAUACACAGAGCCUACCAUAUCUUGUAUGAUUGCUAGAAACUCCAUUAAGGUCAUAAAUACAGAGACAGCUGACAAGAAGCUCAACAGAAGGAUAGAUGUUCUCCCAGUAGGAGAAACUGCUCUUAACAACUACCUGUGGGAUUAUGAAAAUAGGCUACUUAAGUAUCUGCUGCUAUUAGUGAUACUAUUCUGCCUGCCAGAUCUGCGAGAGUUUUCAUUAUAAAUGCAUGCUUGGAAUGCUUCGUCUUUUAUCGAGGAAAUAUAAACUGCAGUCUUUGGGGAGAACAAACAAAGCAUCUCCCCAGCACGGACAGCAGACACACUCACAAGCCCAGGAAGAGCAUCUGUGGUGUCACUGUGUUACAGAGGACACAGUCACUAAAUCAUUACGGUUGUCACUUGUGAGUACAAGUGGCCUGGACAGGGGUGUCUGAACACAAAGAUAUCUCCAAUCCAGGGACUUCAUCAACCACACAAAGAAAAGGAGAUUAAACAUCCAGGGAAAUAGUGAAGGAAUCCUGAAACACCACUGCUGAAAAAUAUUCAAAGAAAGAAAAUUCUGCCUAACCAUCAUGUCUAUUGAGUGAGACUACAAUGUAUACUUCUGGAGUCAUAAUUGGUCACCAAAGCAACAGCUUGGAUGCCAAAAAGCAGGAUUUCAACUCGACUGCACAGGGUGGUGGAAAGAGAAAGGUGAUCACAAUACCUCCAUUGUAGCCUUGAUCCUGUGACUCAAACCCCCGGUGAACUACAAGUCGUUCAUGCACUGAAUCCAAAAUGAGUAACUGAGAAAGCAACUGAAAACAAGACUUUGUUUUCUUCUAACUUCUGUUCCUUGUACUAAUGGCCUUUGAAGGGUUUGGGCAUUAAUCCUGGAUUGCAACAAGAGAUGAGAAAAUUCCCUGGCUAGAUUUUCUUCCAAAUGGGAAAAAAAAGUUUCAAAAAAAAGU